UACGUAGGCAGCAAGCGUUGUUCGGAAUUACUGGGCGUAAAGAGUGUGUAGGCGGUGCUCUAAGUUCGGUGUGAAAUCUCCCGGCUUAACUGGGAGGGUGCGCCGGAAACUGGAGUGCUUGAGCGCGGGAGAGGAAAGCGGAAUUCCUGGUGUAGCGGUGAAAUGCGUAGAUAUCAGGAGGAACACCGGUGGCGAAGGCGGAUCUCUGGGCCGAUACUGACGCUGAGGAGCGAAAGCGUGGGGAGCGAACAGG
rnacentral:rRNA from 1 species